GGAUGUGAGGGCGAUCUGGCUGGUACAUCUCUCAUCCCAUUGAUGGCCAGGGCUGAUUCGGCUGAUCUGGCUGGCUAGGCUGGUGUCCCCUUCCUCCCUCACCACUCCUUGUGUGUCCCUCCCGAAGCUGUGAGCUCUGUCAAAGAGGAUGACUAUCCCUGACAGAGGAGGACCCAUCUUCCGUCAAGGGUAUGGGAGUAGCUGUGCUCCCCUGCUAGAACCUCCAAACAAACUCUCAAUUAUAAAACAUAGCAUCCAAAAAUUUAGCAACAAACUCUUUGCUAGGACUUAUCAAGCUCUGAUAAA
rnacentral:snRNA from 1 species